rnacentral:lncRNA from 1 species
AAUGUCAGUGGGGGCAAAAUGAAAACUCUAAGGAAUGAGAGUAGAGAUGGCAAAACCCCGGGCCGGGUCCGGGUAUUGCCAUGACCGGACCCUGCCCGGAUGCAACCGGUCCGGGUCCGGGUUCGGGCCGGGUUUUAAUCUGGGUACCCGAAUUUUAUAUUUUUUUAAUAUUUUAUGUGUAUAUAUUUUUUAUUUUUUGGUAAUUUUAUAAAUUUUAAAUUUAUUUCAAUAAAAUUUGACAUGAAAAUAUAAACUUUAAGUGUUUAAAACUUUAUAUAUGUAUAAUAAAUAAGUCAAAUAAAUAUAAAAUAUUUAAAAUAAUAUAUAUUUUAUAAUUUUUUUAAUAAAAUCCGGGUUCCGGGUUUAUCAAGUGAUGCCCAAGACCGACCCGGCUUCAUACCCGGACCGGGUAUUACCCGGCCCGCAAUGCCCGGGUACGGUCCGGGUCCGGGCCGGGCGGGUAUUUUUGCCACCUCUAAAUGAGAGAUUGAUUCUCACCUCUCCCAUGGGAAUCAAUAUCUCAUUUUCCAUCUCCAAAUAAUGGUGGACCCUACGAUUCCGAUUCCUGCUCCAUUUUUACGAAGUAAAUGUUAAUUAUUCUGAUUCCCAAAUUUGUAAAGUAAACGCAGCAUGAUUCUGCAUUUAUUUUUGUUUUUUGGAAAAGUUUCUGACAACCUAUAAAGAAUCAUGCAUGACUCAAUAUUACAAACCAAUAGAAAGAAAAGAACCAUAAAUAUUAAAUUUUACGCAUGAUGUUUUGAGAAUUCAUCUUACCAAUUACCAAGAAGAAACUUUACCAAGUUCCUUAAGGAAAAGAAAAAAUAGGUUGCUAUUGUAUUCCAGAAAAAGAAAAUUGUGAAAAGAAAAAAAUUGAAAUAAUUAGUAAAGUAGUCAUUUGAUUUUUUGUUUGAAUGUUAUAUGAAUGAGGUUGAACUGAUGCAAGGUUAUAUAUAAUUUCAAGGUUUGCUUUCUUUAUUCGUGCUAAUUUCUUUGGAUUCUUAUUAAUUAAUAAGGAAUCUUCCGUUAUAAACUUUAAACUGUAAUUUAUAUUUUGAGGCAUUAUUUUUUUUUGUGUUAACUUAUGAAUUACGUCUGUUGCUUUCGUAUUAAGAUUUAUACAUAAUUUAUUAAUUAUGGUUAUUAAUUUUCAGGCAGAAUUUAGUUUUUGGUAUAUGAUUGAAUUAGAUGGUGCAAUAUAUUAAUUUUUGGUAUUUUCAUUAAUUUAAGAUUUGAAUAGCAUUUACUUUAUUUUAUUAAUUUAAGAUUUGAAUAGCAUUUACUUUAUUUUUACUGCAAUAUUUUUUUAUAUACAUUUCGGCAACCCCAAAUCAAAAUCAUGGUUCCGGCCUAGUAGUCUCACGGAAUCCCCCACCCUCAAAACAAAGAAUUCAUGAAUGUACAGUAAAAUUAUAUCGUCACCCCACUUUUAGCCAAUCGCAUGUACAAUGAGUUGAUGCCACGCUGAACCGUUCAAUUCAUCAUAUUUUUGAGUUUGGCCAAGUUUCAUAGGUAGCGAUUAAAGGAGAAGAGAUGACGAAUACGCAUGCUUUGUGCAAUUGGUAUAGGAGUUUAGAGAAACGACAAUGCUCAAAUGCCAAAUAUGUUCUAUCGCUUUAUUUUUCACAACCUGAGGAACGUGAUGCAUUAAUGAAAACUAAAUCAGCAAUGAAUAUUAUUGGGUUGAACAUUACUAUAAUCUGAUCACAAGCAAUUUUAGCAUCGAGUUUAACGUACAAAUUGCCUUCAUGUGGGGUUCUACUAGCCCCAUUCCGUACAAACCUGUGUGGGCUUAAUCCUCUUCGUCCGAGAGGAAGUUUAUACACAGUUAAUAUAACAAUGUUCUAUUAUUAUUUGUAUUUUUUUUUCAUGUUUUACACAUUGCAUUUAAUGGUAAUAUUCAUGUAUAGUUCACAUUAUAAAUAAUUUUACAAGUUGCAACAUUUACAAAAUGGACUAAAAUUUCUCGUGUGAUUAAUUGUUAAUGAAUUAAUUUGUAAGUAGUGAAGAAAUAAAUCUUAGCUAUGCAUGAGCAGUAAUAGCCACAAAACUCAAUGUCUAAAAUAUUAUAAAAUAAGCGUCUACAAAGUACAAUCAUCAACAAUUUUAUAAUAUAAUCAACUUUCCAUAUUGUAUAAACAAACAGAUAAUUUUAGGGUGUGGCCAAGUUACAUCGUAAUAGGGAUGGACCGGGUGGUCAUGGGUUGUAUUGAAUUAGGUUUUAAUUCGGUAAUGAAAAAAUCAAUCAAAUCUAACCAAAUAAGCAUGUCCAAUCCAACCCAAUUCAACAUGACAUUAUGUUUGAAUAGCUAUUAACUUCCUUUUAGUAAAGAUUUGAGUUUGACUGCUAAAUUUAGAACAUUGAAAAAUGAAUCAAUGGCAGAUUUAAUAGAGAGAAAUCGAAAAGAGCAUAUUUUAUAAAAGAAUAAAAAAAGGUUCAAAAUUAGAUUUAGCAAUUUAAAGUUUAACAAUUGACAGUUGACAUUAAUUUUUUUUAAUGAAUUAUAUUAUUAUUGGGUUGAGUGAGGUUAUGUGGGUUCAUAUUAAUGAACUCAACUCAACCCAACAUUAAGAGGAUUGAAUAAAAUUAACUUAAUUAACUCAUAUAAAUUUAACUGGUUUGAGUUGGAUUAAGGACCC